rfam:Ovis aries breed Texel chromosome 3, whole genome shotgun sequence.
UCCCUGGUGGCUCAGACGGUAAAGCAUCUGUCUACAAUGCAGGUGACCCAGGUUUGAUCCCUGGGUGGGGAA